UCUACUCUCUCUUCUCUUUCGGGUUAAAGCUUUUGCUAACUCUAACUCUAGGUUCUCGUAACUAAUUCCUCCAGAGAGCCCCUCAGUCCAGUCGAUGGCUUGAUUUCUCAAAAGACUCCGAAGUUACUCUCCGAUGUUCUCUCGAGAGCUGAUGCUCAUCCGUUCUGCGAUUUCCCUUCCUUCGUCAACCCCUAUGGAUGACGACAUACAAAUGUCGUCUAAACUUUAUUUUCCAAUUGCACUUGUUUGGUUGCGCGGGCGCGUGCGUGUAUGGUUGAGCUGAGAACAGGCAACGACGAGAACCGGCAAGUAAUAACGGAUGCAACUUUGAAAACCGGCGGCAACGGGAUGCCGAUGCAAUGCGGAUGAUGAGCUUGAUGCGAUGAUGAUGCGACAAAUAAAA
rnacentral:lncRNA from 1 species